UGCGUGUACCUUCCGGCCAACCACAAUAAACUAACUCAUUAACGUAAAAGCUGACUGCCUGUGCUGCGUGAGCAGCACAGGCAAUAUAUCAGCAUUCAGACUAUCGAAAACCCAAAAGUUCAAGGGCCAUCUAGGGGGCUAGGUUGAAGGGCGGAGCAUGCAGUGGAGCACAUUAUUAAUUAUUUUAAUUAAAGUAAAGAUGGAGCAAUGUCAGAGGGAGAUAAGGAUGCUAGUUGAGGCUGGUUUCACUCAUCGAGAUGUCAGCAACUUUUUGAGAUCCGUUUUGCCUUUACAAACUCGAGGUAUUUCUGUGAGAAGUGUCAGACGUUUUUGUGCAUUUAGAGGCAUUAGGUAUCGAAAUAACCUCAGUGAUGCUGACCUCCUGGACGUUAUUUAUGCCUGUGUUGUCGCAGUGGGGCACUCAUAUGGUCGUCGCACCUUACAGGGGUUGCUCAGGUCUGAGGGUAUAUUUGCCAGCCAGAGGAGAAUAGGAAGUGCUCUUCGACGUUUGUUUCCCGUUGCUCACUACCAGAGAGCUCUGACUUCAAUGAGACAUCUGAACCCUAUACCAUACAGAGCUUCUUUUUUUGGAGAAAAGCUCCAUUUCGACCAAAACGAAAAACUAAACAUGUACGGUGUGGUACAUGUUUUAGCAAUAGACGGGUACAGCCGUAAGAUUGUUGGAUUUGUUACAAUUCAAAAGAAGAACCCAAUAAUGAUAUAUGACCUUUUGUUUCGUCCUAUUAUGCUCGAAUAUGGCGUUUGGGACCAGUUGAGAAUGGACCAGGGAACAGAGUUUAUUUUAGUUAUUUCUGUCCAGUACACUGUAGCAAAUUUUCGUAGUGGUCACCACCGUCAAGCAGUUAUUCAAUCUACAUCAAGACUAAAUCACCGUGCAGAAAGAAUCUGGCCAGAGAUCAAUGCCAGGAUUAAUUAUCCUAUAAAGAGAGUCCUUACUGAAUUGGAAGAUAGUGGCGUCAUUAAUUUAAGUGAUGAUACAGUGAAGUUUUGUACUUCGUGGAUUACCAUUAAGGUUGUAUCUGAACCAAUUCAAAUGUUUGUGAACUCAUGGAAUGCACACACUAUUCCUGGAAGCAGAGGUGGUAUUCCAAAUUACUUAGCUCAAUACUCGUGUCGACUUGGUCAGAUUGCACCAGCGCAUAUCCCAACAUUGGAAUCUGCUGUGUAUCAAUAUGAAUAUUCUAGCGGUAGUCUUUCUCGUAAUUUCAUUUAUGGGCAGGAUCCAUUAGCUGAUUUUCCUAAUUUGCAAGCUCUUCGCGAAAGAGAUUUUUCUAUGUCCUUUCCAUCAAUGAGUGACAUUUUUCAAGAUGUUUUACACGGAUCGGGCAGUUUGCUUAGAGAUGCUAUUCUUUUUUUCAUUGAACUAAACCAUCGUUUCAUGAGUCUCAUUCAAUAGUGUCGACAGUUGCUGUUUUCAACACAUUUUACACAGGUCGGGCAGUUUGCUUAGAGUUUCAGGAAUUAUGUUCUAUUGUUCUUUUGCUUCUCUCCUCCUCCUCUCUCUCCCUCUCUUUCUCUAUCUCUCUCGUUUUUGGAUAAUUGAUGUAUAAUCAUGAUUUUUGCAUAACUUAAUACAUUAUAAUGAUAGAAUCACAGAAAUCAUAAUCAUUAUUCAUUAUUACAUUAUUAUUACAGUACUGUGACCCCACCCUCUUAAUUAUGACCACGUUGCAACUUGUGGGUGCCAUCUUAUGUUGUGAAUGCUCUCUCUAAGGCUGCUCUGCUGCUAAACUUCCAUACUCAUACAGUCAUGGCUACGAAUUCUCUAGGUUCCGUGAAGCUGAGUCGGCAAGGGAGGAAGGUGGGAGUUUACUUGAGCGAUCUUGAGGUAGAGAAGAUUGCUGCUCUUUUUAACCUACAAGCAAGAACUAUCUAUAUUAUGAAAGAGAAUGACGAGACUGCGAUAUUUCCAGGUGUUUCUGGAAGGUUCCCACAGCUAAAUAUUGGUGCCACAUACGAAGUCAUGGGCGAGCCAGUCCAGGACCAAGCCAGUGCGGCUUCCCCACCUGUUUCUCAUCAUAGUACUCCCUACGGUGCAUACCCCACGUAUCCUCAGCCAGGGCCAUCGGCGAGAAAGUCGUUUAGUCUCCCCCAUCCCCCUACAUUUCCGGCUGCUGUCCGUCAAAAAGUGCCAGGCAGUGGCGGCUAUCACAAGACUAUCAUUUUCAUUAGCUUAUCAUCCGGCUCUGUAAUUGACUCUAAAGCUAAAUCAGUGCCUAGUUAUAAUGUUGUGACUCAUACGCAAGUAUUGAUUGACAGUAGUUCAUGCAAGCCCUCAUCUGUGUGUCAAAUUCUUUCGAACACAACUGGCUACGAAGUCAUAUUACUAGACAGCAAGUGCUAUCCACUUCUAGACAACCCAGCUACAAGCUGCAUGGAUUUUUGGAAAUCGACACGUAAAAUAUUAGCGACAUCCAAAUCCCAAUAUGAAAAGUUAACGGGAAAGAAGUUCACGGGGACAGCUAUUGAUUUGAUGAACGCGGAGGGUAAUAGUGAUGAUCUUGUGUCUACUUCCAAUGCUUCAGUAGAGUUAAUGGAGAAAGUUGAUAGAGCAGUUAGCUUUAUAGAGAAAUUUGAGCAGGGGAUUGCAACUGUCAUUAAAUUGUUUGAGUGUCCCAUUUGCAAAUCUAUUUUACGAGACCCCAUUGUUUCUUCAUGCUGUCAGAGACUCGUUGGAUGUAAAACUUGUGUAAGCGAUUGGUUUAGCUACGGUGGGACCACUUGCCCUUACUGUUCAUCUCUUACAUCAGCAGAAUCUACACGAUUCGAAUUGAAAGGAAUGCAGGAGUUUUCGGGUUUAUUGGCUCUUUUUGAGAAAAAAGAUCAAGAUAAUACAGACAGGACCUCUGUCGUCUCUGACCCUGAACUUCCUCCCCCUAUAAUAUGAAUUAGUAAUUAGUACUAACAUUCUCGUGUAUGAAUUAGUACUAUAGCAUUCUCACUAUUAUCUUAACCUUCAAUCAUGGAUAAUGUCAGAAAUACUUUUGUUUCUGCUUGUUUUUUUUUGUGAAAAAUGAAAGAUUAUAAAUAUGA
rnacentral:misc_RNA from 1 species